ACCGGGCUUGGUAGCGCUUGCCUGUAACUCAAGUGAGGGUAUUAAAGAUGGUUGAACAGUGAUUCAGCCCUGCCAGGUUGGCUCCAUUGGUGCACAAACUGGGCUUGCCCGUUCCAAGUUGUGAGUUGGACCAUGUGGCUUGAGCGAAGGCUUGGGUCACGUGGUUCCUAAAGCAGGGGGCACUGCGUAAGGCUGGCUUCACAGAGCUGCGAAAACCCCUCGCUCACGACAGUGGAAGGAUAACGAGCCGGGGCUCCAUGGUUCCACAAUAAUCUGCUGGGCCGUCUCAAAUGAACAACCAUCUUU
rnacentral:SRP_RNA from 1 species